rnacentral:rRNA from 1 species
GGGUAGAUAGAUGCUUACACAUGCAAGUCGAUUCAAGUUACCUUCGGGUAAUGAGGAUGGCGGACGGGUGAGUAACGCGUAAGGAACUUGCCUCUUGGACUGGGACAACUGUUGGAAACGACAGCUAAUACCGGAUAUUAUGAGAUUCUCGCAUGAGAAACUUAUGAAAGCUAUAUGCGCCAAGAGAGAGCCUUGCGUUCCAUUAGCUAGUUGGUGGGGUAACGGCCCACCAAGGCGACGAUGGAUAGCCGGCCUGAGAGGGUGAACGGCCACAAGGGGACUGAGACACGGCCCUUACUCCUACGGGAGGCAGCAGUGGGGAAUAUUGGACAAUGGGCCACAAGCCUGAUCCAGCAAUUCUGUGUGCACGAUGAAGGUCUUCGGAUUGUAAAGUGCUUUCAGUUGGGAAGAAGAAAGUGACGGUACCAACAGAAGAAGCGACGGCUAAAUACGUGCCAGCAGCCGCGGUAAUACGUAUGUCGCAAGCGUUAUCCGGAUUUAUUGGGCGUAAAGCGCGUCUAGGCGGAAAAAUAAGUCUGAUGUUAAAAUGCGGGGCUCAACUCCGUAUUGCGUUGGAAACUGUUUUUCUAGAGUACUGGAGAGGUGGGCGGAACUACAAGUGUAGAGGUGAAAUUCGUAGAUAUUUGUAGGAAUGCCGAUGGAGAAGUCAGCUCACUGGACAGAUACUGACGCUGAAGCGCGAAAGCGUGGGGAGCAAACAGGAUUAGAUACCCUGGUAGUCCACGCCGUAAACGAUGAUCACUAGGUGUUGGGGGUCGAACCUCAGCGCCCAAGCUAACGCGAUAAGUGAUCCGCCUGGGGAGUACGCACGCAAGUGUGAAACUCAAAGGAAUUGACGGGGACCCGCACAAGCGGUGGAGCAUGUGGUUUAAUUCGACGCAACGCGAGAAACCUUUACCAGCGUUUGACAUCCUAAGAAGUUUCCAGAGAUGGAUUCGUGCCGGCUUGCCCGGAACUUAGUGACAGGUGUGGCAUGGCUGUCGCAGCUCGUGUCGUGAGAGUUGGGGUUAGUUCCGCAU